UACAUGUGGGGCAAGCGUUGUUUGGAAUUACUGGGCAUAAAGGGUGCGUAGGCGGUUUGUUAAGUCACUGGUGAAAGUUUUCGGCCCAACCGGAAAAUUGCCUGUGAUACUGGCGAACUUGAGUGCGUGAGGGGUGGGGGGAACGAGCAGUGUAGCGGUGAAAUGCGUAGAUAUUGCUCGGAAGGCCGGAGCCGAAGGGGCCCCACUGGUACGUAACUGACGCUGAGGCACGAAAGCGUGGGGAGCAAACAGG
rnacentral:rRNA from 1 species